UUGCUGGCGUGCGGAGCGCAGGGCCGCCGUGAUCAAUAGAGCCAGGAUCCCGGGUCGCAUCUUCUCGCUGUCAGGUACGGCUGCAUUCUAUAGGUGUUAGAGCAGCUCUGGAAAUAUCACCACAAGAGGCCAUGGCUGGAGGCGGGGGCGGCGCGCGCGCCUAGCGAUGCUGGAGAAGCGGCUGCCGGCGCUGGUGUGGGGCGCGGCGGCGGCGGCGCUCUGCCUGUCGCUGUACCGCCUGCUGGGCUGGCCGGCGGGCGGCC